rnacentral:rRNA from 1 species
GAUGAACGCUGGCGGCGUGCCUAAUACAUGCAGGUCGAGCGAACGGACGAGAAGCUUGCUUCUCUGAUGUUAGCGGCGGACGGGUGAGUAACACGUGGAUAACCUACCUAUAAGACUGGGAUAACUUCGGGAAACCGUAGCUAAUACCGGAUAAUAUUUUGAACCGCAUGGUUCAAAAGUGAAAGACGGUCUUGCUGUCACUUAUAGAUGGAUCCGCGCUGCAUUAGCUAGUUGGUAAGGUAACGGCUUACCAAGGCAACGAUGCAUAGCCGACCUGAGAGGGUGAUCGGCCACACUGGAACUGAGACACGGUCCAGACUCCUACGGGAGGCACCAGUAGGGAAUCUUCCGCAAUGGGCGAAAGCCUGACGGAGCAACGCCGCGUGAGUGAUGAAGGUCUUCGGAUCGUAAAACUCUGUUAUUAGGGAAGAACAUAUGUGUAAGUAACUGUGCACAUCUUGACGGUACCUAAUCAGAAAGCCACGGCUAACUACGUG